AGGGAAUAUUGGACAAUGGGCGAAAGCCUGAUCCAGCAAUGUCGCGUGAGUGAUGAAGGUGUUAGCAUUGUAAAGCUCUUUUGGCGGGGACGAUAAUGACGGUACCCGCAGAAUAAGCACCGACUAACUGUGUGCCAGCAGUCGCGGUAAUACAUGGGGUGCGAGUGUUACUCGGAAUUACUGGGUGUAAAGGAUGUGUAGGGGGUCUUAUAAGUCAAUUGUGUAAUCUUAAAUUUCAAGUUUAAAACUGCAUUUGAUACUGUAAGACUAGAGUGAGAUAGAAGGUAACGGAAUUCUUAGUGGAGGGGUUAAAUCCGUAGAUAUUAAGAGGAACACCAGAGGCGAAAGCGGUUACCUAGGUCUCUACUGACCUUGAGACAUGAAAGCGUGGGGAGCAAAC
rnacentral:rRNA from 1 species